rnacentral:rRNA from 1 species
UACGGAGGGAGCUAGCGUUGUUCGGAAUUACUGGGCGUAAAGCGCACGUAGGCGGCUUUGUAAGUUAGAGGUGAAAGCCUGGGGCUCAACCCCAGAAUUGCCUUUAAGACUGCAUCGCUUGAAUCCAGGAGAGGUGAGCGGAAUUCCGAGUGUAGAGGUGAAAUUCGUAGAUAUUCGGAAGAACACCAGUGGCGAAGGCGGCUCACUGGACUGGUAUUGACGCUGAGGUGCGAAAGCGUGGGGAGCAAACAGG